CUACGGGUGGCUCCAGUGGGGAAUAUUGGACAAUGGGGGCAACCCUGAUCCAGCCAUGCCGCGUGUGUGAAGAAGGCCUUUUGGUUGUAAAGCACUUUAAGCAGUGAAGAAGACCUAACGGUUAAUACCCGUUAGCGAUGACAUUAGCUGCAGAAUAAGCACCGGCUAACUCUGUGCCAGCAGCCGCGGUAAUACAGAGGGUGCAAGCGUUAAUCGGAAUUACUGGGCGUAAAGCGAGCGUAGGUGGCUUGAUAAGUCAGAUGUGAAAUCCCCGGGCUUAACCUGGGAACUGCAUCUGAUACUGUUAAGCUAGAGUAGGUGAGAGGGAAGUAGAAUUCUAGGUGUAGCGGUGAAAUGCGUAGAGAUCUGGAGGAAUACCGAUGGCGAAGGCAGCUUCCUGGCAUCAUACUGACACUGAGGCUCGAAAGCGUGGGUAGCAAACAGGAUUGGAUACCCUUGUAGUC
rnacentral:rRNA from 1 species